GAGACAGCAGUAGCCGCGGUAAUACGAAGGGGGCUAGCGUUGCUCGGAAUUACUGGGCGUAAAGGGAGCGUAGGCGGACAUUUAAGUCAGGGGUGAAAUCCCAGAGCUCAACUCUGGAACUGCCUUUGAUACUGGGUGUCUUGAGUGUGAUAGAGGUAUGUGGAACUCCGAGUGUAGAGGUGAAAUUCGUAGAUAUUCGGAAGAACACCAGUGGCGAAGGCGACAUACUGGAUCAUUACUGACGCUGAGGCUCGAAAGCGUGGAGAGCAAACAGGAUUAGAUACCCCCGUAGUCCCUGUCUCUUAUAC
rnacentral:rRNA from 1 species